rnacentral:rRNA from 1 species
AGGUUAAGUUAGUAAGGGCGCACGGUGAAUGCCUUGGCACUAGGAGCCGAUGAAGGACGGGACUAACACCGAUAUG